UUUAUCAAAAUAUCUUCUUUUGUGUUCAUCAGAAUAAAAAAAUUCAUACAGAGAAAAUGAUGACAGAAUUUUUCUUUUUGGGUGAACUAUCCCUUUAAAGCUGGUUUAGGACCAGAAGCAGCUGCUGGCAUGACGGACAUUAGCAGUAAAGUCAUUUUAAAUAGCAUUUGGCUAAUAUUUGGUCCUAUUACCUCUUUACAAGGACCCAUAGGGCCCCAUACAGGCACAUGCAGUCUCAUACACAGACAGGAUCAUGACUAUCUUGAGUAAUCAUGACUAUCGUAGCCACAUAAAGUGCAUCUAUGCAACCUGGUGCAAACAGAGCAAGACAAAAGACAGUGCAAACAAACAAUACAAAUCAAUACAACACACUACAAGACAAUACUCAAAAGCUCAAAAAGUAUGUACUCUUCUAAAAUGCAUAAGUUCAUGUGGAAAUCAUAUUCUGAAUAUAGAGAUAGAUAUACAACAUACAGAUCAAGAGAUAUAACCAAAAUCCACCAUUUUCAUUCCAAAAUAUAUAGAAUGUGUCUUGAAUAAUUUGUCACCCUCUCGAACACUGUUUUUGCACUGAAAUUUAUAUAAUCUUGAAUCUACAUCAUGAAGCUACAAAUAAUAAUUAAUAAAUAAAAUUAUUAAAGUGGAAAAAAACAAAAAUUCUGUUGUUAAAUCACUAACUUUGUUCUUUUACAGUUUUUUCCUGAAUGCUUAAGCGCUAAUCGUGAUUCUUGUAGCACAAUUUCUAAAACUAUUAUGUAUAGCAAAACCACUCACUGAGUUUGCAAAACUAAAAACACAAACACUGCUUUGCAUUCAGUUUGCAAUUUUGUAACACACACUUUGCAAAACUGUAGGCACAAUUCACUGCACAACACUCUUUUUGCAGAACUUUAAACACAACUCACUGCUUACACUCAAUUACCAAAUUUCCAACACACUCCUAGCAAAAUUAUACACAUGUAUGGCUAUCAUUAACACUAUUUUGCCAACUGUCUGGCACACUUUCACAUGUAAAAACUGUUUUAGAUAAUUAGUUCACUUUGCAAUCAGCCUAAGCACUAUAAAUAAGCCACAGGUAAGCUGUCUGUGUGGAGUACGAUGGAAGGAGCAGUAAGAGUGAGAAGAGUGAGAAUCAGAGGAGGCCGAGGGAGAGGACGUGGAGGUGAAGAAAGAGGAGGAAGAAGAGGACGUGGAGGUGUAGAAGUAGGAGGAAGAGGACAUGGAGUUGAAGAAGCGAGAGGGUAAGUUAGAGGAAGAGGACAAGGAGGAGCAAGAAGAGGACGAGGAGGGGAAAGAGGAAGGGUAAGAAGAGUAAGAAAUGGAAUAACUGAUGACAUCAGAGCUACAAUAGUGGACCAUGUCAUCAACCAUGGGAUGACCCGGAGGGAAACUGGCCAACGGGUUCAGCCUAAUUUGAGCCGCUACACUGUGGCAAGCAUCAUUAGGACAUUUCGAAAUGAGAAUCGAAUUGCUAGACAUCCAGAUGCUGGGGGCAGAGGAAGAAUGUUCACUCCAGCGCAAGAGACCCAUAUAGUGAACAUGGUGAUUGGCAAUAAUGCAAUAAGACUGCACGAAAUACAGCAGCACAUAAUUGAUAAUGACACCAUCUUUCAAAAUAUACAGUGUAAGCAUUUCUGCACUAAGUCGUGUACUUGAGCCACAGAAUAAGAAUGAAGCAAAUUUACAGAGUUCCUUUCGAGAGAAACACAGAACGUGUAAAGCAACUGCGAUAUGACUACAGUAUGUGCAGAGAGUGAUGGAACUAGAAGCAAAUGCCAUGGGACAUGAGCUACUUUUUGUAGAUGAGGCCGGUUUUAACCUCAGUAAAACCAGGAGACGUGGCAGGAACAUUAUUGGACACCGUGCCAUCAUCAAUGUCCCAGGACAACGUGGUGGUAACAUAACCAUGUGUGCAGCUAUAAGCCAAAAUGGUGUUGUUCACCAUCAUGCAAUCAUAGGCCCAUGCAACACUGCACACAUUAUUGCAUUCCUGGACACCUUACAUGACAUGCUCACUGUUCAGAGACCAGAGCAUACCCGAUAUGUCAUCAUAUGGGACAAUGUUAGUUUCCAUAGGGCUGCUUUGGUCCGCAACUGUUUACAGACCACCCAUUCUUCAUGGCACUCAACCUCCCUCCAUACUCUCCAUUCUUAAAUCCCAUCGAGGAGUUCUUCUCUGCCUGGCACUGGAAAGUGUACGACCGUCAUCCUCAUCAACAGGUAGCCCUUUUACAGGCAAUGGAGGAGGCAUGUCAGGCCUGGAUACGGCAUUCAAUGAGAUAUUUUCCCCGGUGCCUUGGACUGGAAGAUAUCGCAUGCAAUGUGGACGAAAUUUUGUGGCCGGACCCAGAAAGACGACAUGAUGUAGGCUGAUUGCUGCUUUUUGUGAAAUUACUAUUUUGUGUUCUGACUUUGUCUUGGUUUUGAUGAGUGUGAAUAAACAUCAAUACUUGAAGUUUGGAUCCUUGUAUGUUUACAUGACACUAUGACAAAAGUAUGACCUCAAAUUGACAUCUGUACACGGAGAAAGCAAAAGCCAGAUGUGUUUUGUAUUCAUAUUCAUUUGUAUUCCAUCAGUGUGUAGUUGGCAAAUUGUGUGCUUAGUAGAUGAUGGCUUGUGUUUACUGUUUGAUACAAAAACACAAUUUUUAUGAAGGUGUGAAGAGUUUAUCUAGCUGUGUUCACUUUUGCAAGAGAACUACAAUGUUUUGAUAAUUGGGUGAAAGGUUUUCUUAUUUGUGUGUAGAGUUUUGCAAAAAUAGCCAAUAGUU